AACGAACGCUGGCGGCGCGCCUAAUACAUGCAAGUCGAGCGAGAAGGUGUAGCAAUACACUUGUAAAGCGGCGAACGGGUGAGGAAUGCAUGGGUAACCUACCCUCGAGUGGGGAAUAACUAGCCGAAAGGUUAGCCUAAUACCGCAUACGUUUCCGGAACUUCGGUUUCGGAAAGAAAGCAAUACCGUGGGUAUUGCGCUCCUGGAUGGGCUCAUGUCCUAUCAGCUUGUUGGGUGAGGUUAACGGCUCACCAAGGCUUCGACGGGUAGCUGGUCUGAGAGGACGAUCAGCCACACUGGCACUGCGACACGGGCCAGACUCCUACGGAGGCAGCAGUAAGGAAUAUUGCGCAAUGGACGAAAGUCUGACGCAGCGACGCCGCUGGGGGAUGGAAGGUCUUCGGA
rnacentral:rRNA from 1 species